GGUCAUCAGUAUACGAACAGAGUUUCUAAUUCGGUACGUACACGUUCAUACUUGGUUAAACUUGACACUUUGAAGCUUACCGAGUGAUUUAGUCAAUAUCAAACAAACUACCAUGCACGAUGAGCUUAUUGGCAUCAUUAAGAUCUCGAUUAUGCACGUUGUUUGGGGCUGAAGACCCUCCCCGCGUAAAUAAUCUAUUUUCCGACUGCGCCCGAGACGAGCGACUAGGCUACUAAGUACUAUUGAGCUGCCUAGCGUGCCGGAAGCACGGCCGCUGCGUAGUAAGUUUAAAGACGGGAUAGUUGAAAGCUACCAUCCUAUCCCCGGAUGGUACCACCACUGCCCACUGCCUCUUAAUCCCAAGCUAAGGCCUCUCCCUCGGACUCUUUGCCGAUGGUGUAGGUUCCUUCCGUCGUCCGCGCGUUUAAUGGGUUAGGACUGUGCCCCUCCAUCACUGUUAUUUAUUGUUAUGGCCCGCGUAAUCACAGACCAUUAACCUUACUCAUGUUAGAUUUAGGGAAUUGCUCCUAGGUAACCUCCCGUUCAGACCACGGUCGUCGGCGCCAUUAAGGUCGAGGUUAUCGCAUAUAAAUUCAACAACGUCAAUUUUUCGAGCAUCAACCUGGAACCCGGCCCAGCCGGCCAGGCGGAGUGCCGCUCGUGGCUGGAUGAGCUGGGAAGCCGGCCGUAGCGCGAGGAUCGGAAUUCACCGGCCCAGCACAAAGGCCGUAGCAAUGAAACUUCUUUAAUCUCACGAGUUUCGUUCGGUAGCGAGACCUAUGUAAUCGUACCCUAUUGUAGUAUCCUAAGGCCAGGAUAACACAACCGGAAGCCCUAGCCUCAUUACUAAUUAUCCCUGUCAGCCCCCGUAAGCAUAAAGUAUCAGUCUCCACUUUAAGAACCUAAAUACCUUCUGCUUGUUGACGCUUUCGUAAACGGUUCCUACAAAAGUAAUUAGUUCUUGCU
rnacentral:rRNA from 1 species